rnacentral:rRNA from 1 species
UACGUAGGGGCCUAGCGUUGUCCGGAAUUAUUGGGCGUAAAGAGCUCGUAGGCGGCCUGUUGCGUCCGCUGUGAAAGCCCGGGGCUUAACCCCGGGUCGCAGUGGAUACGGGCAGGCUAGAGGUAGGUAGGGGAGAAUGGAAUUCCCGGUGUAGCGGUGAAAUGCGCAGAUAUCGGGAGGAACACCGGUGGCGAAGGCGGUUCUCUGGGCCUUACCUGACGCUGAGGAGCGAAAGCGUGGGGUAGCGAACAGG